AUUGAACGCUGGCGGCAUGCCUUACACAUGCAAGUCGAACGGUAACAGGUCUUCGGAUGCUGACGAGUGGCGAACGGGUGAGUAAUACAUCGGAACGUGCCUAGUAGUGGGGGAUAACUACUCGAAAGAGUGGCUAAUACCGCAUGGGAUCUACGGAUGAAAGCAGGGGAUCGCAAGACCUUGUGCUACUAGAGCGGCCGAUGGCAGACUAGGUAGUUGGUGGGAUAAAAGCUUACCAAGCCGACGAUCUGUAGCUGGUCUGAGAGGACGAUCGGCCGCACUGGGACUGAGACACGGCCCAGACUCCUACGGGAGGCAGCAGUGGGGAAUUUUGGACAAUGGGCGCAAGCCUGAUCCAGCAAUGCCGCGUGCAGGAUGAAGGCCUUCGGGUUGUAAACUGCUUUUGUACGGAACGAAAAGCCCCGGGUUAAUACCCUGGGGUCAUGACGGUACCGUAAGAAUAAGCACCGGCUAACUACGUGCCAGCCGCCGCCGUAA
rnacentral:rRNA from 1 species